AGCCAUAUCACAUUGAAACAUCGGUUCUUGUAUGAUCACUAAAGUUAAGCAACACUGAGCAUGGUCAGUACCUAGAUGGGUGAUUGCCUGGGAACACCAAAUGCUGUG